AGUGAACGCUGGCGGUAGGCCUAACACAUGCAAGUCGAACGGCAGCACAGUAAGAGCUUGCUCUUACGGGUGGCGAGUGGCGGACGGGUGAGGAAUACAUCGGAAUCUACUUUUUCGUGGGGGAUAACGUAGGGAAACUUACGCUAAUACCGCAUACGACCUACGGGUGAAAGCAGGGGAUCUUCGGACCUUGCGCGAUUGGAUGAGCCGAUGUCGGAUUAGCUAGUUGGCGGGGUAAAGGCCCACCAAGGCGACGAUCCGUAGCUGGUCUGAGAGGAUGAUCAGCCACACUGGAACUGAGACACGGCCCAGACUCCUACGGGAGGCAGCAGUGGGGUAUAUUGGACAAUGGGCGCAAGCCUGAUCCAGCCAUACCGCGUGGGUGAAGAAGGCCUUCGGGUUGUAAAGCCCUUUUGUUGGGAAAGAAAAGCAGCAGGUUAAUACCCCGCUGUUCUGACGGUACCCAAAGAAUAAGCACCGGCUAACUUCGUG
rnacentral:rRNA from 1 species